rnacentral:rRNA from 1 species
CACGUAGGGCGCAAGCGUUGUCCGGAUUUAUUGGGCGUAAAGAGCGUGUAGGCGGCUUUACAGGUCCGUUGUGAAAACUCGAGGCUCAACCUCGAGACGCCGGUGGAAACCGUAAGGCUAGAGUCCGGAAGAGGAGAGUGGAAUUCCUGGUGUAGCGGUGAAAUGCGCAGAUAUCAGGAAGAACACCCGUGGCGAAGGCGGUUCUCUGGGACGGUACUGACGCUGAGACGCGAAAGCGUGGGGAGCGAACAGG